rnacentral:sRNA from 1 species
AGCAGCCGCGGUAAUUCCAGCUCCAAUAGCGUAUAUUAAAGUUGUUGCAGUUAAAAAGCUCGUAGUUGAAUUUCGGGGCUAGUAGAUCGGUCGUGCAACUGGUAUGUACUGGUCUCACUGAUUCCUCCUUCCUGAUGAACCGUAAUGCCAUUAAUUUGGUGUUGCGGGGAGACUGGACUGUUACUUUGAAAAAUUAGAGUGUUUAAAGCAGGCUAACGCUUGAAUACAUUAGCAUGGAAUAACGGAAUAGGACGUUCGAUCUUAUUUUGUUGGUUUCUAAGAUUGACGUAAUGAUUAAUAGGGAUAGUUGGGGGCAUUAGUAUUCAAUUGUCAGAGGUGAAAUUCUUGGAUUUAUUGAAGACUAACUACUGCGAAAGCAUUUGCCAAGGAUGU